UACGUAGGGUGCAAGCGUUGUCCGGAAUCAUUGGGCGUAAAGCGCGCGUAGGUGGCUUUGUAAGUCCGUUGUGAAAGUCAAAGGCUCAACCUUUGAAUGCCGAUGGAUACUGCGGAGCUAGAGUACGGAAGAGGCGAGUGGAAUUCCUGGUGUAGCGGUGGAAUGCGCAGAUAUCAGGAGGAACACCAAUGGCGAAGGCAGCACUCUGGGACGUGACUGACGCUGAGACGCGAAAGCGUGGGGAGCGAACAGG
rnacentral:rRNA from 1 species